GGGACACGCUUGGGGAAAGAGUUGCUGCAGCCAUGUAAUGCAGGGGCCAUCCACCGGUGCCAGGCCGAAUUAAAGGGACCAGGUGGUUUUUGAUAGAACUACGGAAUUGUCUUCGUGGAGACACCAGUGAGUAGCAACCUGGCGAGAGCGGCCUCCUCCGACCGUAGAAGAUGCCCUCUCUCCCGAGGGAUCCAGAGUUCCUCCUCUUCCUCUUUAAAGUGGUGGGGCUGGGGAUCGUCCUGCUUCAAAGUGGAGCACGCCCCCUGCUGGACGUCUGCAGGACACAAACUCAGACAUGUCAAAUAUCAUACAGUAUGCUAGGGGUGCGCGAUAAUUUUAUCUACUCGGCGCAUGUGCCCGAAUACGGUGCACCUUGCUGGGCCACACCAGGUGGCUCCCUCUGCUUUAUACUCUGGUUCUCCUGGUAGUAGUGCUGUGGUAGUACUCAUGUCAUGAUAGUUGAUUAGGACAAAUCAACAAAUCCUCAUUUGUUCCAGUCCUCCUUACCUCCAGGUGGUGUGGUGUGGUAUGGUUUGAUUGAUUUUGCCUGACAUACAUGCAUAUGCCCAAGACACCUAUGAAAAGGAGGGACUUAUGUGGAGGGGGCGGUGUAAGGAAGGCGGAAGUGAGAAGGGCUAGCCAUGCUAAUCUAAAUGCUAAAUGCUCAACUGCUCUGUUUUGCUGUCACAUUAUAAAUAAAAGCUUGCCUGAAGCAAGAGGAAAGUCUCUUUCUUUCCUGAAGAGCGAGGCUCUAUUUUCCCUCUGACACGUAUGACAGCAUCACACCUAAUCUUACUACUUUAUUCUCAUACAUUUAUGACUAUUCUCAUUAUUAUACUGUAUACUGCAAAAAGUAAGUAAUACAUUUAGAAGAGUAAAAGUAGUAAUACGAGAAUAAACUUGUAAAUUUACGAGAAAUAAAGUCAUAGUCGUAAAUGUACGACUUCUCAUACAUUUACAAACUUUUUUCUUGUAGAUUUAUUACUUUUUUUCUUGUAAAUUUACGACUUUGUUUUUGGAAAUGUCCGACUAUUGUUCUCGUAAAUGUAUGACUUUAUUGUCACAAAUUUACGACUUUAUUCAAGUAACAUUAUGGCUUUAUUCUCGCAAAUGUAUGACUUUCUCAUAAAUUUAUGACUUUUUCUUGUAAUAUUUGCAACUUCAUUGUCGCAAAUUUAUUACUUUAUUCUGGCGGUAGCAUGACUUUUUUCACAAAUUUACACUUUGCUCUCAGAAAUGUACGACUUCAUUCUGUAACAUUACAACAUUUUCUCGGAAAAUUUGUGACUUUGUUCUCAGAAAGUUAUUACUUCAUUCACGCACAUUUAUGACUUUACUCUCGCUAAUUGAUGACUAUUGUGGUAAUAUGACUUUAUUCUCAUGAAAUUUAUUCUGGCAAAUUUGUGACUUUUUCUUGUAAAUGUAAACAAGACUUUUUUUCCCCUUAAA